GAGCGGAAGGCAAUUGCUUCAACCAACUGAGCCACCCAGUUGUUGGUGUCCAUUCUUUCUUAAAUCUGCAAAGGACUGACUGGCUGUGUCACCUUCCCACCACUUAUGAGAAUGCCUGGCGGCCUUCCUCACACUUCCUGGGCAUCCAAGGCCUCUUCCUCCUGACAUCUUUCCUUACUGACAUGAGACAUUCGAGCAUCACACUCUGUCUUCACUCCCACCCUCACCACUGGGAGCUGCUGAGGAGAAGGAAACAAACAUCCAAGGGAUGCUUUGGAAGACAAUACUCAGCAUAUAGUCUCUCUCAUUUGGAUAGAAGACCUUCAUAGUCAUCCCUUAAAUAGUGCCUGAUGGAACCUUCAAAAAAAUUUUUUUAGUAGUCUGAAUUUUAUUUCUCAAUAUGAUAUAAAUCCAAUAAGAAAAAAGUUUUAAAACAGCAAUUCCCGUUUAUAGUACAAAACCAGUUCAAGAUUUAAUGACUUAGAGUCUAGUUAUCAUUAAAUGGUAUUUGUACAAACCAUAAAAAA